rnacentral:rRNA from 1 species
AUGGUCGAAGAGACAGCAAGACAGAUGACAUGGCACAAAGUGGGCAAAAGAACCCAACUAGAUUCAGAUAGGAAGCUGAUGAUGGUGCACACAUCGGACGGUGAAGCGUCGAAGUGCUUCGAUGCACUACAUGACAACAAAGCGGUAGAUACGAGGCAUCCUCGAGUCGCCAUCAGCACUAAUGGGUUCAGUGUGUUUGUUCUGACAGUAACCCAAUACAGUUGUUGGCCCGUAUUUGUCAUUCCACUCAAUCUGCCCCCAGGACUGAUUAUGCAAAGACGGAACAUUUUCCUGACGUUGAUAAUUCCAGGGCCCAACUAUUUAGGGAAGAAUAUGAAUGUGUACAUGCAACCGCUGAAGGAUGAAUUACAAGAAGCCUGCGAUAAUGGGUUCAAGACAUACGACGCCUUUAGCAAAAAGAACUUCAUAAUGCGUGUCUCGUACAUGUACUCGACACAUGACUUGCCGGCGUAUGCGCUAUUCGUUGGCUGGUGUGUGCAUGGAAGGUUCCCAUUGGCUGGUGUGUGCAUGGAAGGUUCCCAUGCCCACAUGCAAGGGAGCUCUUCAGUUUCGUUGGCUUCAGGCUGGUCACAAGUUUUCUUGCUUCGGCUUGCAUAG